rnacentral:rRNA from 1 species
UACGUAGGCAGCGAGCGUUGUUCGGAGUUACUGGGCGUAAAGGGUGUGUAGGCGGUUGUUUAAGUUUGGUGUGAAAUCUCCCGGCUCAACUGGGAGGGUGCGCCGAAUACUGAAUGACUAGAGUGCGGGAGAGGUGAGUGGAAUUCCUGGUGUAGCGGUGAAAUGCGUAGAUAUCAGGAGGAACACCGGUGGUGUAGACGGCUCACUGGACCGUAACUGACGCUGAGGUGCGAAAGCGUGGGGAGCAAACAGG